GAUUAUGGCUCAGGAUGAACGCUGGCGGCGUGCUUAAUACAUGCAAGUCGAACGAAGCACUUACGACAGAUCCCCUCGGGGUGAAGAUGUUUGUGACUUAGUGGCGGACGGGUGAGUAACGCGUGGGUAACCUGCCUCAUGCAGGGGGAUAACAGUUAGAAAUGACUGCUAAUACCGCAUAAGCGCACGUGACCGCAUGGUCGAGUGUGAAAAAGAUUUAUCGGCAUGAGAUGGACCCGCGUCUGAUUAGGUAGUUGGUGGGGUAACGGCCCACCAAGCCCGCGAUCAGUAGCCGACUUGAGAGAGUGAUCGGCCACAUUGGGACUGAGACACGGCCCAGACUCCUACGGGAGGCAGCAGUAGGGAAUAUUGCACAAUGGGGGAAACCCUGAUGCCAGCGACGCCGCGUGAGUGAAGAAGUAUUUCGGUACGUAAAGCUCUAUCAGCAGGGAAGAUAAUGACGGUACCUGACUAAGAAGCCCCGGCUAACUACGUGCCAGCCGCAGC
rnacentral:rRNA from 1 species